CCGCGCUCUAAAAAAAUAACCCUAGCCGAGCGAAUACCCGGGGUGACUGAAGCACUUUCGCGUAGUACCCCUUUCUGCGUUGAAAAUAAAAAAAAUAUAUUGGCUUUUCGGUAUAAAGUGGUUAUAAUUUAUGGUUAUCAUGCACUCAAAAUUUAAGUUUUCGUUAUAAAAUGGUAAAUUUUGGUUAUUAUAUCUAUCAGCGAUUUCCAUUUAUUUUUGAUGAUACAUUGGUUUGUAUUUUAGGCGACGAUAUAUAUAUUAUUAUAUUUAAAAUAUGAGUUGUGGGUAUGAAGUGGUUAUAUUUUUUGGUUAUCAUGCACACAUAUUAGGGGUAUUCUCUUGCUCUUGCAAGAUUGCAGAUUGCAAAAAUACUACACCGAAAUAUACAAGGGCACGAGAGCGCCCAUUGGAGAAUCUACCCUGCAAGACGGAGGUAACAGAUUGCACAAACACAUUGAAACAUUUUCAGCUGUUCACUAACACUGUUACAUUUUCUGGAAUUUUCAAUGGAAUGGGAGAAUACGUAAAAUAGGAGAGGCGAAUACCCAAUAUUUCAAGAAGAAUAAACGAAAAGCGCAGUUUAUUUUGGAUUUUAAAGAGAGAAAACGAAAGAGGUUAACAAGGAGAAAAAGAAAUCGUUUGGACCAUUGGUAAAAUUCAAAUCUAUUGCGUGCAGCAACCAAAUAAUGGAGUAUGUUUUAAAUUAUUAAAGUUAAAUAGUGUAUAUUUCAUUCAAAUAUUUGUUAUAGAUUGUGCAUUUUAUUUUGAUUUUAUUAUUAAAUAAAGAGAAAUAAUAAAAAACUGAGUUUUAUUUAAAAGAAUUUAAUUUGCUAGAAGUAACAAAUGGGUAACAGAUAAUCUUGUUACUGCUUGUUCUUCCUAACAUGCUUAUGUGUUAAAGGCAACAAACUGAUAACCAAAAUAAUAACACUAACAGAUAUUCGGGUAACAAAUACUUUUUGUUAUCCAUAACACAUGGGUAAGCUAAGCGCUAACAAAAUAAUUUGUUACCCGUAACAUACUGUGAAGAGAUUUGCUAACAAAUGUGUGUAUUCUGUUAGAA